rnacentral:sRNA from 1 species
CGGGCUCUUAACCGGUCGUUAAGCUUUACGGGCGUUUACUGUGUGCGUCCAGUGAUCUGGAUUCUGACCGGGUGGCCCUUGCCACUCAGUUUGACGCCUCCCUGUUAAACUCCUGAGAGCCGCUUCCCGCGGCUCUUUUUUU